rnacentral:rRNA from 1 species
CUGCAUGGCUGUCGUCAGCUCGUGUCGUGAGAUGUUGGGUUAAGUCCGCACGAGCGCAACCCUUGCCUUUAGUUGCCAGCAGUUCGGCUGGGCACUCUAAAGGGACUGCCGGUGUUAAACCGGAGGAAGGUGGGGAUGACGUCAAGUCCUCAUGGCCUUUAUGACCAGGGCUACACACGUACUACAAUGGCCGAUACAAAGGGCAGCGACACUGCGAGGUGAAGCCAAUCCCGUAAAAUCGGUCUCAGUCCGGAUUGGAGUCUGCAACUCGACUCCAUGAAGUUGGAAUCGCUAGUAAUCGUGGAUCAGCAUGCCACGGUGAAUACGUUCCCGGGCCUU